rnacentral:rRNA from 1 species
GUUAGCUCCGACAAUAUGGAAGUAGUUGACACAAUGAAGAAUGAAGGACAUUCAGCGGCAGCAGUUUUUGAUGAUUGUUAUUUUAUGGCGUGCGAUUUUUUGUAUAUUAGUUUUGAGCAUUGUAAUAUGGAAGCAAAUAAAGUUGCUCAUGAACUUGCUAGAUUAGCUAAAUUUUCUGUGACUAAAGAUUGUUUUGAGGAACCUAUGAAUAAUAUUGCAAUUUUUCUUAUUAACAAUGUAACUGUCAUUUCCAAUGAAUAA